rnacentral:rRNA from 1 species
AGUGAACGCUGGCGGUAGGCCUAACACAUGCAAGUCGAACGGCAGCACAGUAAGAGCUUGCUCUUACGGGUGGCGAGUGGCGGACGGGUGAGGAAUACAUCGGAAUCUACUUUUUCGUGGGGGAUAACGUAGGGAAACUUACGCUAAUACCGCAUACGACCUACGGGUGAAAGCAGGGGAUCUUCGGACCUUGCGCGAUUGAAUGAGCCGAUGUCGGAUUAGCUAGUUGGCGGGGUAAAGGCCCACCAAGGCGACGAUCCGUAGCUGGUCUGAGAGGAUGAUCAGCCACACUGGAACUGAGACACGGUCCAGACCCCUACGGGAGGCAGCAGUGGGGAAUAUUGGACAAUGGGCGCAAGCCUGAUCCAGCCAUACCGCGUGGGUGAAGAAGGCCUUCGGGUUGUAAAGCCCCUUUGUUGGGAAAGAAAAGCAGCAGGUUAAUACCCCGCUGUUCUGACGGUACCCAAAGAAUAAGCACCGGCUAACUUCGUG